AUACUGACUUUGGAGGUACGUAUGCUAAAACUGGAAAAAUACGGAGAAGAUUAGCAUGGAUCCUGCGCAAGAAUGACACGCAAAAUCAUGAAAUAAAAAAGUAGCUG